AGAUCAAGCAAAAUGGUAAAUACAGAGCCCUCUCUUUUCAAACAUUCCCUUAUUCUACAAUGUGCCUGUAGUGUCACUGUCUUUGAUUUCCAUGAGGCUUGCCCUUGGGUUUGUAUUGUAACUUGGUAUCUUUCCAUUGUCCCCUACCACAAAAAAAUUCCUUUUUAAGAAACUGAAUUCAGAAUGUAAUCCAUCAAGCUUUAGCUCCUCUUUCUCUUUCCUUCUGGAAGAUUUAGUGACUAAGUCUUUGCUUUGAUUUUCUUUCUCUGACUUUGAGGGGUCUCACUUUCUCUUCUAAUUGCUACAAUCUGGUAACUCCUUUUGCUUGGAGUAAACAAAAACAGAAACACUUGGUGAGGAGACAAACAGGCUCACAAGCUCACGUGCCUGACUAGCUGAUGGAUGGCAAGGUCUGGCUCUCAGGAAGAGAUCUUUCCAUGGCACCAUGCAACGUCAGUUUCAGGAUGGGCUCUCUGCCAGGCACAGUGGAGCUCACCUUCUAGUACCAAACGUAUCUAGUUGCACUCCAUAAAGAUUAUAUAAAGGACUUAUUCGUAAAUGUGCAUAAUUCUGCUGCCAGAGUACAGGAGAGUGAGAGAGUAAUUCUGACUAGAGGAAUACAGAUUUCCUGGAAGAGAAGGGAUUUUCCUGGUCUUCCAAAAUGGAUAGGAUUUUGAGAGGAGACGUUUAGUCUUCCACUGGCUCUAAUAUGUAUCUUAGAAAUCCGUAAGAUUUUAGAAGGCUGUUGAAGCAACACUUGAGAGCCCAAUUCAAGGAUAAGACCUGGUGACAUCACUGAUACCGGAUUCAUACAGAGAAGGAAUAGGUAUGGA